rnacentral:lncRNA from 1 species
AGGAGGCUAAAAAGAGGCAAGUGAAAGGCAUGGAGGCAGCUCAGCACCCCUCUCCUGCACAUUCCUUUUGCUCAAAGAAUCACGUUAUCCCAACCAAACCUUUGGAAAAGUUACUCCCAGAAUCCUCCCCAGCCAGCACAGGAGGGGUCUAGUCCAAAACAGUAACUUUCUCAAGCUCUCCCCAGUUUGAUUUACCAUCAAGGCUAACCAGGAUUUAAGCAAACAGGUUUUUUUCCUCCCCACUAUUACUACUCUAUGCUAGAGAAACUAGGGGGUGACGCAUACAAAGCAAGGAUUAACAAGGCACCUCUUGCCUCUCUGCUUGUCACUACUCAGGGACAAAGUGGUGGGGGCUGAGGUGAAGAGAAGGAAUGUCAGCCAGGUCUAUCAACCAAAAGCACUUUUAAGGCUUUGACUUUGAAAAGUUUCACAAUCACCUGUUUUAUCUUGUGAGGCUAGGCCAGGAAGCUCUUGCAGACAUCCAAAUCGCCAACAGGAAGGGCCGUCUGGGUCUGUGUAAGCCAUGGAUGCCCCCUGUGAGGUGGUGUGUAGGGAUGGCUUACUUGAUGGGCCUGGUGGCCCUCCUUGCUACCGCUACCACCCGCUGCCCCGAGGGAUUGUGUAUUGUGCCAUCAGACAGUGUUAAGCAGCCAGUCUGAGACCAUUCACAACCUAGAUUGUUUGGAGGCCUAUCUUUCUCUUUUUUCCCCUCAGGCCUUGUUACUUCCUAUUGGACAGUGACUGCUGUGACAUCCCAAAGGAUCCUGACAGUGCCCAUAGCCAGCCCCUUCUGCAAGAAGAGUACAAAAUAUGGCUUGCAAGAACACACUGUUCCAAAUCCGGCCUUCAGUCAGCUAAUACAGCAAUUACAGCUAAGCUCAGUGGAGAACCUGAAGAAGGCUGUGGACACAGGCCCUGCUACUCAGAAAAUCCCAGGCCUUUGACCCUGCCAGUCCCAGCUCCACUACACCACUGGUUAUCGUCCAAGCUUUGCUGCUCCCUUGACAACCUGCUUCAACAAUUAAGGAACUGUUUAUAGAGACUUUUUCUCCUUACAAAGCUUCCUAGAUUGCUGUGCAGAUGUGUAGAAAAAAAAAUCUUUUAAAACUUAAAACAUACUGGGAGGGGAGGUGUAAGUUACAUCUCCAGUUUUAUUCCUAAAACAGGCAGGUACCGUUCCAUCUAAAAGGAAACUGCAUUGUCUUCCCCUCUAACAAGAGCCACUGCAACUGAAGGUGACAGUGCUCACUUGAAAUCAAUGUCAAUGUGCAUUUUCCCCUCCAAAGAAUAAAAAUGGAUCUUCUGCAAGAUGGAUGUGCCUG